rnacentral:rRNA from 1 species
UUAAGCGACUAAGCGUACACGGUGGAUGCCCUGGCAGUCAGAGGCGAUGAAGGACGUGCUAAUCUGCGAUAAGCGUCGGUAAGGUGAUAUGAACCGUUAUAACCGGCGAUUUCCGAAUGGGGAAACCCAGUGUGUUUCGACACACUAUCAUUAACUGAAUCCAUAGGUUAAUGAGGCGAACCGGGGGAACUGAAACAUCUAAGUACCCCGAGGAAAAGAAAUCAACCGAGAUUCCCCCAGUAGCGGCGAGCGAACGGGGAGCAGCCCAGAGCCUGAAUCAGUGUGUGUGUUAGUGGAAGCGUCUGGAAAGGCGCGCGAUACAGGGUGACAGCCCCGUACACAAAAAUGCACAUAUUGUGAGCUCGAUGAGUAGGGCGGGACACGUGGUAUCCUGUCUGAAUAUGGGGGGACCAUCCUCCAAGGCUAAAUACUCCUGACUGACCGAUAGUGAACCAGUACCGUGAGGGAAAGGCGAAAAGAACCCCGGCGAGGGGAGUGAAAAAGAACCUGAAACCGUGUACGUACAAGCAGUGGGAGCACGCUUAGGCGUGUGACUGCGUACCUUUUGUAUAAUGGGUCAGCGACUUAUAUUCUGUAGCAAGGUUAACCGAAUAGGGGAGCCGAAGGGAAACCGAGUCUUAACUGGGCGUUAAGUUGCAGGGUAUAGACCCGAAACCCGGUGAUCUAGCCAUGGGCAGGUUGAAGGUUGGGUAACACUAACUGGAGGACCGAACCGACUAAUGUUGAAAAAUUAGCGGAUGACUUGUGGCUGGGGGUGAAAGGCCAAUCAAACCGGGAGAUAGCUGGUUCUCCCCGAAAGCUAUUUAGGUAGCGCCUCGUGAAUUCAUCUCCGGGGGUAGAGCACUGUUUCGGCAAGGGGGUCAUCCCGACUUACCAACCCGAUGCAAACUGCGAAUACCGGAGAAUGUUAUCACGGGAGACACACGGCGGGUGCUAACGUCCGUCGUGAAGAGGGAAACAACCCAGACCGCCAGCUAAGGUCCCAAAGUCAUGGUUAAGUGGGAAACGAUGUGGGAAGGCCCAGACAGCCAGGAUGUUGGCUUAGAAGCAGCCAUCAUUUAAAGAAAGCGUAAUAGCUCACUGGUCGAGUCGGCCUGCGCGGAAGAUGUAACGGGGCUAAACCAUGCACCGAAGCUGCGGCAGCGACGCUUAUGCGUUGUUGGGUAGGGGAGCGUUCUGUAAGCCUGCGAAGGUGUGCUGUGAGGCAUGCUGGAGGUAUCAGAAGUGCGAAUGCUGACAUAAGUAACGAUAAAGCGGGUGAAAAGCCCGCUCGCCGGAAGACCAAGGGUUCCUGUCCAACGUUAAUCGGGGCAGGGUGAGUCGACCCCUAAGGCGAGGCCGAAAGGCGUAGUCGAUGGGAAACAGGUUAAUAUUCCUGUACUUGGUGUUACUGCGAAGGGGGGACGGAGAAGGCUAUGUUGGCCGGGCGACGGUUGUCCCGGUUUAAGCGUGUAGGCUGGUUUUCCAGGCAAAUCCGGAAAAUCAAGGCUGAGGCGUGAUGACGAGGCACUACGGUGCUGAAGCAACAAAUGCCCUGCUUCCAGGAAAAGCCUCUAAGCAUCAGGUAACAUCAAAUCGUACCCCAAACCGACACAGGUGGUCAGGUAGAGAAUACCAAGGCGCUUGAGAGAACUCGGGUGAAGGAACUAGGCAAAAUGGUGCCGUAACUUCGGGAGAAGGCACGCUGAUAUGUAGGUGAAGUCCCUCGCGGAUGGAGCUGAAAUCAGUCGAAGAUACCAGCUGGCUGCAACUGUUUAUUAAAAACACAGCACUGUGCAAACACGAAAGUGGACGUAUACGGUGUGACGCCUGCCCGGUGCCGGAAGGUUAAUUGAUGGGGUUAGCCGCAAGGCGAAGCUCUUGAUCGAAGCCCCGGUAAACGGCGGCCGUAACUAUAACGGUCCUAAGGUAGCGAAAUUCCUUGUCGGGUAAGUUCCGACCUGCACGAAUGGCGUAAUGAUGGCCAGGCUGUCUCCACCCGAGACUCAGUGAAAUUGAACUCGCUGUGAAGAUGCAGUGUACCCGCGGCAAGACGGAAAGACCCCGUGAACCUUUACUAUAGCUUGACACUGAACAUUGAGCCUUGAUGUGUAGGAUAGGUGGGAGGCUUUGAAGUGUGGACGCCAGUCUGCAUGGAGCCGACCUUGAAAUACCACCCUUUAAUGUUUGAUGUUCUAACGUUGACCCGUAAUCCGGGUUGCGGACAGUGUCUGGUGGGUAGUUUGACUGGGGCGGUCUCCUCCUAAAGAGUAACGGAGGAGCACGAAGGUUGGCUAAUCCUGGUCGGACAUCAGGAGGUUAGUGCAAUGGCAUAAGCCAGCUUGACUGCGAGCGUGACGGCGCGAGCAGGUGCGAAAGCAGGUCAUAGUGAUCCGGUGGUUCUGAAUGGAAGGGCCAUCGCUCAACGGAUAAAAGGUACUCCGGGGAUAACAGGCUGAUACCGCCCAAGAGUUCAUAUCGACGGCGGUGUUUGGCACCUCGAUGUCGGCUCAUCACAUCCUGGGGCUGAAGUAGGUCCCAAGGGUAUGGCUGUUCGCCAUUUAAAGUGGUACGCGAGCUGGGUUUAGAACGUCGUGAGACAGUUCGGUCCCUAUCUGCCGUGGGCGCUGGAGAACUGAGGGGGGCUGCUCCUAGUACGAGAGGACCGGAGUGGACGCAUCACUGGUGUUCGGGUUGUCAUGCCAAUGGCACUGCCCGGUAGCUAAAUGCGGAAGAGAUAAGUGCUGAAAGCAUCUAAGCACGAAACUUGCCCCGAGAUGAGUUCUCCCUGACUCCUUGAGAGUCCUGAAGGAACGUUGAAGACGACGACGUUGAUAGGCCGGGUGUGUAAGCGCAGCGAUGCGUUGAGCUAACCGGUACUAAUGAACCGUGAGGCUUAACCUU